rnacentral:lncRNA from 1 species
AAUAACUGUAGCCACAUAAUGAAAAUGGAAGUGCACCAUGAUGUGAAAAUCAAUUGAGGAGGCUUGGAAUAUUGCUACUGAAACAUCUACACCUUGACAUUUUUUGAGUUUCCUUGGGCACCAGCCCUGCAGUUAUCUCCUUGGAAAACGUCAAAUUUGUCCUGGAAUGAGGAGCACAUCUGGAGAAGGAAUUGAGAGGAGGGAUAUGAUUAAA